rnacentral:rRNA from 1 species
UUCGGCAAAGUUCUGAGUGAGAAGAUGGAAUUUUACAACAGCAACCCUGAGGCUGACCACAUCCGAAAGGUGAAGGGUGAGAUCGAGGAGGUGAAACAAGUCAUGUCAGAAAACAUUGAAAGGAUCUUGGACCGCGGCGACAAGAUUGAGCU